rnacentral:tRNA from 1 species
GGAGGGAUGGCUGAGUUCGGUUUAAGGCGCUCGACUCGAAAUCGAGUGUGGUAGUGAUAUCACCGUGGGUUCGAAUCCCACUCCCUCCGCCA